AGAUAAAGUAUAUGUAUGAGUUUUAGAUUUUACUUAAUGCAUUUGUUUUAAACCUAAUAUCUGCAUUGAAAAAAUCUCCAAUUUUAAUAGUCUAUGUACAUGGCGCUAAGGGGGAAACGAACCCCAUGAACUAUUGGAGGUUGGGUAAGCAAAUGCAUCUAUACAAUAUUCUCACUCUCAGUUGAUGUCUACUCUGUCUUUCCAGUUCCCCAGGCCAAUCAAAGUCAUGCUUAACUCUAUCUUAAGAUCCAUAUCCAAUUUAUCAGGAAAUUGUGCUGGCCUCACCUUCAAAUGCAUCCAUUAUAUAACUAUAUAACUAUUACAUAUUAUAUAACUAUAUAAGUCACUGAAACUACUGCCAGCUCCUAACCUUGCCUCCUUCCCAUCCCCCCAUUCUAUUCUACAUAGAGUAGUAGAACUUAUUAACAUGAAAGUCAUGUAAUGAAGUUUAUCUACACAAAAUCUAAUGAUAUCUUCUCAUUUAUUUCAAAAUAAAUGCUAAUUACAACAGUAUAAAAGGUUCUCCUUGAUCUGGUCCCUGCCUAGAUCUCAUCUCCUUCAGUAGUAGCCACACUGCUUUUGUUGGUGUUCUGUGAACAGGCUCGUGAGGUUCCUAAUGUAGGAAACCUAUACUUGAUGCUUUUAAAAAAAAUAUAUAUAUAUAUCUUCUAAAUAUUCCCAAGGUUCUAACACUUAUUUUGUUUCAAGUUACUGUUUAAAUAUAAUCUUCUCAACAAAGUCUAUUCUAACUAUUAAACUGCAAGUUCUUCCUUACAAAGAGACAUUCAAAAAUCCCUAAACUUGACCGAUCUAUAUUUUUCUUCUCUAUAGCAUGUAUCAUCUUCUAAUAUACUGUGUAAUUACUUAUUUAUUUACUAUUUAUUUUUUGUCCUAUCAUAAUAGAUUGCAAACUUUAUAAGAACAGGAAUUUUUCUUUCUUUAUUCAUUUACAAGUACUUGGUAAACAAUAGCAAAAGUAUUUGUUGAAGGAAUGAAUCAACAGGGAGAAAAAAGAUAGUCCACUAUUCUAACUUUUGGUAUAUUGAUUCAACCAAGAUAUUCAUCAACAAAUAUUUGUUCUUAUUAAAGACCUUAAAGUACUCAGAAAAAAAUUAUUCUCAAAUUUCAACGUUAGUAUAAUUUUAUGGCCUAUAGUGAAAAUUUUCCUUGGUAAUAUUUAUUUUUAUAGAUAGUAAUAGUUUUUAUGAGUUAUGGCUCUCUCUCUCAAUAAUUUUUAAUGAACUGGGAUUUCAAAGCUCUAUUUCUAAAGAGAGUUCUAGAAAAAUAAUCAAAUUUUAUUAGAAUAUACAGGGAUGUACUAAUUGGGACACACAUAGAUCAGUUAGUUACCCUUCUGCCAUUUCCAUAAGCAAUAAAAAUCAGAAUCCUAAUUUUGAACUGAGUUGUAAUAAUGCGGUUAAUUAUCAAUUUAAAAAAAAAGUUGACCAAUAAAGAAGCAAAUUCAUUAUCUUGCUUAAGAAAAAAAGUUACUCAUUUGCCUAUUCAAGAGUUUGUGGUGUUUCUAAACUAGGAUGAGACCAAGAUUAUCAUGUAGAAGAUUUCUUUUACUCUGAAUUGAAACUAAAGAAGAAAUUCAAAGCUUAUGAGAUAAUAUAGAUAGUUCCAAGGUAAAAUUCCAAAUUAAUAUUAUUUUUAAAUGUAUAGGCAGGCACUGGAGAAUAUGACAUGACAAAGCACAAAGAGAUUAAGGAAGUUCUCUCAGUCUUGUUAAAUUAAUUGUGAAAAUACUACAGCCAGAAGCUAUUCGAUUUUUGGAGAAGACUGAAGAGCACCCAAAGGAAGUUGCACAGGGUAUUAUCAAACCACCAGGCCUUAGCCUGAUCAUCUUGUUAUCCUUAUUUUUCAACCCUGUUUCUACCAACUUUGCCCGUAGCAAAAUAGCAAGAUACAGCCAACAUCAAGGCACAGUGAGAAAAUCCUACUUGACUUGCUGAAAGUUCAUGCAACAACCUUGAAUGCUGGACUAUGAGAGCAAAAGAACAAGAUCAAACUAUGACUCAAGGACAUUCAGAAAUCUCCUCAAAAUAUCUAAGGGCACCUAAAGGUCAUUAAAUAUCACUAUGUAGUAUGCUCUUGUCUGAUAGGAGGAUAGGGGCUGGAACAAGAGUUAGUUCUAUAAGUAAGAAAAUGGGAAUUUCCUUGAAAAAGCAUCCUGAAAACAUUCCUAUUUACUUAAAAACUAUAGAAUAAGUGAUUAUGCAUAUAUGUUUAAACAAUGAAUUGAGUAGCUAAAUGGAUUUGUGUGAUGUGUAUAAACAUAGAAUAUAUAAAAUGUGCACUGUAAUUACAAUUAAUAUUUCUGUAUCUUUAAACACUAGAAAUGUUUAAACAUUAAGAAUAAAGUGAAAUGGACAAUGAGAGCAGAUUUACAGUUCUCAACUCACUCUCACUCAGGGUGUGCUCAUUGAAAGGAAUGGCUAGCCCAUCCGUUCUCUCUCUCUCUCUCUCUCUCUCUCUCUCUCUCUCUCUCUCUCCUUCUUCCCAUUUUUCUGUUUUU